GACGAACGCUGGCGGCGUGCUUAACACAUGCAAGUCGAACGGAAAGGCUCCAGCUUGCUGGCGUACUCGAGUGGCGAACGGGUGAGUAACACGUGGGUAAUCUGCCCUGCACUCUGGGAUAGGCCUGGGAAACUGGGUCUAAUACUGGAUAUGACCUUUCUCCUUAUGGGGUUUGGUGGAAAGUUUUUCGGUGUAGGAUGAGCCCGCGGCCUAUCAGCUUGUUGGUGGGGUGAUGGCCUACCAAGGCGACGACGGGUAGCCGGCCUGAGAGGGUGAUCGGCCACAUUGGGACUGAGAUACGGCCCAGACUCCUACGGGAGGCAGCAGUGGGGAAUAUUGCACAAUGGGCGGAAGCCUGAUGCAGCGACGCCGCGUGAGGGAUGACGGCCUUCGGGUUGUAAACCUCUUUCAGCAGGGACGAAGCGUAAGUGACGGUACCUGCAGAAGAAGCACCGGCUAACUACGUG
rnacentral:rRNA from 1 species